rnacentral:rRNA from 1 species
AGAGUUUGAUCCUGGCUCAGGANGAANGCUAGCGGCAGGCCUAAUACAUGCAAGACGAACGGUAAGUUGGGUAGCAAUACUUGACCUAGAGUGUCGUAAGGGUGCGUAACACGUAUGCAAUCUGCCCUCAACAGGAGGAUAGCUCGCCGAAAGGCGAAUUAACACUCCAUAAGAUCAUGGUGUGGCAUCACACAGUGAUUAAAACUCCGGUGGUUGAGGAUGAGCAUGCGGAUGAUUAGCUAGUUGGUGAGGUAACGGCUCACCAAGGCGAUGAUCAAUAGGGGAACUGAGAGGUUGAUCCCCCACACUGGCACUGAGAUACGGGCCAGACUCCUACGGGAGGCAGCAGUAGGGAAUAUUGGACAAUGGGCGCAAGCCUGAUCCAGCCAUGCCGCGUGCAGGAAGAAGGCUUUCUGAGUUGUAAACUGCUUUUGCCAGGGGAUAAAAAGUCCCUGCGGGGAAAAUUGAAGGUACCUGGUGAAUAAGCCACGGCUAACUACGUGCCAGCAGCCGCGGUAAUUC